AUUGAACGCUGGCGGCAUGCCUAACACAUGCAAGUCGCGCGGAGCGGCGGACGGGAGAGUAAUGCCUAGGAAUCUACCUGGUAGUGGGGACUAACGUCCGGCAGCGGGCCCUAAUCCCGCAUCCGAUCAGUUGAGCCUUGGUCGGAUUACCUAGCUGGUGGGGGAAAGGCCUACCAAGGCGACGAUCCGUAACUGGUCGGAGAGGAUGAUCAGCACCACUGGAACUGAGACACGGUCCAGACUCCUACGGAGGGCAGCAGUGGGGAAUAUUGGACAAUGGGCGAAAGCCUGAUCCAGCCAUGCCGCGUGUGUGAAGAAGGUCUUCGGAUCGGAAAGCACUUUAAGUUGGGAGGCGUUACCAACAGAGUAAGCACCGGCUAACUACGUGCCAGCAGCCGCGGUAAUUC
rnacentral:rRNA from 1 species